ensembl:lncRNA
AAGAAAGAAAGAAAGAAAGAAAGAAAGAAAGAAAGAAAGAAAGAAAGAAAGAAAGGAAGGAAGGAAGGAAUGAAGAGAAGGAGAGAUAGAAGGAGAGAUAGAAGGAGAGAUAGAAGGAGAGGGAAACAGACUGAAAUGGUGAAAGUGGGAGACAGGAGAUGCAGGAGACAAAGGGACAGAGACAGAAAGGAGAAGGGGAUGAGAAAUGAGACAGACUGAGACAGAGAGGGAGAGUGUGUGUGACAGCUGUGUGUGAACGAGAUGCCCGGAACCAAGGUGCCCGUCACACACCACCAGGGGGGCACUUUCAGUGAGUGCGCCAUGCAGCCAGACUUGGGGGACAGAAAACAAUGCAACACACGUCACUGCAUCAGGACAAAAUCACAACCUUGUCGGGCCGCAAACAUCCCCUCUCUGUAAUGUCAGUGAAAGGACAGUGACGCAGUGUCCCUUCAACUAGAUAAUACUCAAACCCUCCAAUCCUCUAAACACCAGGAUCUAACCUUCCACAAGUCUAGUUUAACUUUUAACCCUUGACCUUGUCAAAGAGGAGGUCCACUACCAUAUGAGCAACUUUGUACAGCUGUAAUUGAGGCAGGUAGACAAACAGUGCUCUGCUCACUGUUCCAUUAAGUUAAUUGAGUUGUUGAGAAACUCGUACUACAAACAAUCUCGUCGACCAUGAUAAAUGGAUGCACAGAACACUGCAUUAGAAUAGACAGCAUUACCAGACGCAUUCUAGAAAAACCACCUAGCUGUUGUAGUGUCUUUCUACAUAUUGUGAAUUGUUCUGUGUAGAACCAUAAUGUAAAUGUCAGCAUGUUGUGGAUGUCAAGUGGAUCUAUAGCUCUGGCUCAGUGGUGGGUUAACAUUUGUCAUUGGACAGAAUGAAUGGAACUGACCUGACCGUAUGGCCAAUCAGAACACAGGAGGUCAAAGGUUAUAAAUGAAUGCACAGGCGUAAUGGUUCCCCCUGAGUUUAAUUUGUGUCUCAGACUCGUUCAGUCCACUAGUUGUUAGAGGUGUCAUUAUCAAAUAAUUCAGUUGGGUUUUUUUCAAAUCAUGGUGCUAAAAUGUAUGACGCCUCCUCUACUUUUAACCAUCUCUCUGUCCUAAUGGCAGAAAGUCAACAACAAAAAAACUGUUUUAGUUUCCAAAAAGCGAGAUCGGUAAUUGGUCUGAUGUCCUUUCCAAAAGCACCAUGUAGGCCAAGCCUUUUACCUCCAGUCAGAACACUGCUACACUAAAACACUGUUUAAAGGGAAUCGCUGCAUUAGGGUUUUUUGGAGCAGACACACAAAUGCAAGCUUGAUGACCGUGUAUUAUUUUACCACACACACACAGACACACACACAGAGGCUUUCCUGAACAAUCAGUGAGAGCUGAAGAGGUGAGCUGAGCACUAAUUCUGUGCUUUAAUCGGGAAUACAUUUCCUUACACGCGCACGCACACACACACACACAGUAGUUCACUGAGAUAGAGGAUGAGUGAGCAGUGGCUUGUUGUGUAGGGCUGGGAUAUACUGGCGCUCUGAACCAAUGGGACUUCCUGAGUUGUAUGAGUGACAGUCACUCUGACCGAACCAAUUUAAGGUUCCUCAGAUCACCAUGGCAAUGGAAUGAUUUAGAUUUAUUUACAAAAAAAUGCCCUUUUCCUGACAUCGUCUGAAAAAGAAUGGAAAUAAACGUGGAAUUUUGCUUUAGGAGCAGCUAUAACAGGAAAGAAAGAAGUCCGAUAUAAUUACAAAGACAAGAAAACAUUUCCAUUGAGGAUCAUGUCAAUAACAAACUGUAUCACAGUAUCCCCUUUCCAAGUCAAAUAAAACAUUUUUUGUUCACAUUUGUAUUUUUUUCCCAGUAUACUAUAUCACACAGUGAUAACAAAGAAAGGAGAAAUCUACAGCCACGUUAGCUUCGUGCAAAAAACACAUACACUGGCACGCCGCAUAGGCAAAGAUUAAAGCAGAAACAAUGCAUACAAAAAUAUAGAAAAUCUCCAAUGCAACUCAACACCUCACUGAAAACUAGCUUUCUGUCUUUGAACAACAAUUUCUCCACCAAACAGCAUCUCUUUCACCAAAUGGUCACUUCUGGAACAUUCUAUUUGUGUUUUUGUCUUUGAAGGCCUAGACCAUUGGCCUUCCAUAUAGGAAACCAUAGAACCAAAAACAGAAUCCGGUAGCUAUAGUAUGUCAUUAUGACGGUUAGUCAUAAUGAUAUUCAGAAUAAUUAUAAUAACAACAACAUGUUGAAUGAUAGAAAACUAGUACAAUAAAAGCAUAUCAAAUACAUAUUUCCUGUCACUUUUAAGACAUUCCAGCAUUUGCUCAUAACUGUUGGUGACAGGUUACAUACGGUAGUUUGGCAUACUCAGCAAGCCAUGCCCAGAAGGAUGCUAGGGGUCGUGCUCCCCUGUUCAGACGUUGCAUGCAUCAUCCAAUGGUUGUGUGCCACAUCAUCGACUGUGCCGUCAGACACCAGAUUGGUGCAGCAUAUGAUGUGGUUAGCUGAUACGUAAAAUAACUAUCCAGAUUUAGGAAGAUCUGGCACGCGUCAGCAACGCCUGGGAAGAGGAACACGGCUUACAUCUCUUGCAAAAGAGAGGAGGGGUUUCAGGUUUCAGGAUGCAGUGGAACCUGUCCACCAAUGGGAUACAUUGUAUCUGGGUGGUGGCGGGGGAAGGGUGGGGUUAUACAGAACAGCCCAAACUGCAAACCGACGUGCUCAAGACCAGGUCAGCACACAAGUUCAGUUCAGCACUUGCAAACACAUGCAAAGAUAUUUCAUAGUUUUAAGAUUCUGUCUUUCUCUGUCUUUUUUAGUUUUUAGCAGUCUCUCGCUUUCUUGUUGUGUGUGGGUGGAGCACUGAACCCCACUGGCCAAUCCAUGGGCUUCUUACUGAAACCACAGACCAAUUGUUGAGCUUCUUAUUGAAGGCUGUGACAGCCAGUCCAGCUGUCCUGCUUCACAUUGAUAGAAAAGAUUGUUUGGACGCCUCAAGACAAAAAUAUAUUGAUACAUAUCAAAUGGUCAGAGGGCAGGCGGGCAGGCGGGUAGGGGAUUGACAUGAUGCUAUAAGGCAAGGACAGAGGGGUUACACAGCAGUAAGAGUUCAAGUCAUGAAAAAAAACAUGCAGACAGGCUUAACAUAUCAGAGGCCAUGUGAGGGACGGAGAGAUGGACAGGCUUAAACAUAUCAGAGGCCAUGUGAGGGACGGAGAGAUGGACAGGUUUAACAUAUCAGAGGCCAUGUGAGGGACGGAGAGAUGGACAGGUUUAAACAUAUCAGAGGCCAUGUGAGGGACGGAGAGAUGGACAGGUUUAAACAUAUCAGAGGCCAUGUGAGGGACGGAGAGAUGGACAGGUUUUAACAUAUCAGAGGCCAUGUGAGGGACGGAGAGAUGGACAGGUUUAAACAUAUCAGAGGCCAUGUGAGGGACGGAGAGAUGG